CGCCUGUUUAUUAAAAACAUGGUUUUUAAAUUUAUUUAAAAAUUUGACCUGCCCAUUGAUUAUUAAUUAAAAGGCCGCAGUAUUUUGACUGUGCUAAGGUAGCAUAGUAAUUAGGUUUUUAAUUGAAAUCUUGAAUGAAUGGUUAGAUGAAAUAAAUACUUUUUUAUUUUUAUAAUUUGAAUUUUAUUUAUUAGUGAAAAAGCUAAUUUUUAAUAAUGGGACGAGAAGACCCUAUAGAAUUUUAUAAUUUUUAUAUAUUUUAUUAUUAAUAAUUUUAUUUAUUAUUUAAUAUUUAUUUUAUUGGGGAGAUAUUUAAAUUUAUUUAACUUUAAUUAAUUUUUUCAUUAAUAAAUGUAUUAUUGAUCUUUUUUUAUAGAUUAAAAAUUAAAAUUACCUUAGGGAUAACAGCAUAAUUUUUUUAAAAAGUUCUUAUUUUUAAAAUAUUUUAUGACCUCGAUGUUGGAU
rnacentral:rRNA from 1 species